GACGAACGCUGGCGGCGUGCUUAACACAUGCAAGUCGAACGGAAAGGCCCUGCUUUUGUGGGGUGCUCGAGUGGCGAACGGGUGAGUAACACGUGAGUAACCUGCCCUUGACUUUGGGAUAACUUCAGGAAACUGGGGCUAAUACCGGAUAGGAGCUCCUGCUGCAUGGUGGGGGUUGGAAAGUUUCGGCGGUUGGGGAUGGACUCGCGGCUUAUCAGCUUGUUGGUGGGGUAGUGGCUUACCAAGGUUUUGACGGGUAGCCGGCCUGGGAGGGUGACCGGACAAAUUGGGAAUGAGGUUCGGCCCCGGCCCCUACCGGAGGCAGCAGUGGGGAAUAUUGCACAAUGGGCGGAAGCCUGAUGCAGCAACGCCGCGUGCGGGAUGACGGCCUUCGGGUUGUAAACCGCUUUCGCCUGUGACGAAGCGUGAGUGACGGUAAUGGGUAAAGAAGCACCGGCUAACUACGUG
rnacentral:rRNA from 1 species